GUAGGUACCGAGCGUUAUCCGGAUUUACUGGGCGUAAAGGGCGUUCAGGCGGUUUGGCAAGUCGGGCAUGAAAUCUCUUGGCUCAACCGGGCGAGGUUGUCCGAUACUGCUGGACUUGAGGGCAGUAGAGGGUGGUGGGAUUCCGGGUGUAGUGGUGAAAUGCGUAGAGAUCCGGAGGAACACCAGUGGCGAAAGCGGCCACCUGGACUGUACCUGACGCUGACACGCGAAAGCUAGGGGAGCGAACGGGAUUAGAAACCCCGGUAGUCCUAGCUAUAAACGAUGUUGACUAGGUGUCGGUGGACUAAACCCCGCCGGUGCCGCAGCUAACGCAAUAAGUCAACCGCCUGGGGACUACGGCCGCAAGGUUA
rnacentral:rRNA from 1 species